GGUGGUGGUUGUUGUUGUUGUUGCGGUGGUGGUGGUGGUUGUUGUUGUGGUGGUUGUUGUUGUUGUUGUUUCAACCUGACUGAAGCUGCGUCCUGCCCACAGGGUGAGUUCAUCUCCAUGGGCGUGUACGCGGCCGGGAACUCCUACGGGAUCCCAGAGGACCUCAUCUACUCGUUCCCCGUCGAGAUCAAGAACAAGACCUGGAAGAUGGUCGACGGACUCCCCAUCAACGACUUCUCCCGAGCCAAGAUGGACGCCACGGCGGCCGAGCUGGUGGAGGAGCGGGACACCGCGAUGGACUUCCUGUCCCAGUGACUGUCCAACCUCGCCGACCAACAGCCGUCAGCCCCCCCGAAGGCCCGCCUCUCGCGGCUCUGAG